AGCAGUGUGGCUCAGUGGAAAGAGCAUGGGCUUGGGAGUCAGAGGUCAUGGGUUCUAAUCCCAGCUCUACCA
rnacentral:tRNA from 1 species